AUUGAACGCUGGCGGCAGGCCUAACACAUGCAAGUCGAACGAGUGGCGGACGGGUUAGUAAUGUCUGGGAAACUGCCUGAUGGAGGGGGAUAACUACUGGACACGGUAGCUAAUACCGCAUACCAUCAGAUGUGCCCAGAUGGGAUUAGCUUGUUGGGGGGGUAACGGCUCACAACGGCGACGAACCCUAGCUGGUCUGAGAUGAGAACCAGCCACACGGGAACUGAGACACGGUCCAUACUCCUACGGUAGGCAGCAGUGGGGAAUAUUGCACAAUGGUCGCAAGCCUGAUGCAGCCAUGCCGCGUGUAUGAAGAAGGCCUUCGGGUUGUAAAGUACUUUCAGCGGGGAGGCGUUACCCGCAGAAGAAGCACCGGCUAACGCCGUGCCAGCAGCCGCGGUAAUUC
rnacentral:rRNA from 1 species